rnacentral:rRNA from 1 species
UACGGAGGAUCCGAGCGUUAUCCGGAUUUAUUGGGUUUAAAGGGUGCGUAGGUGGCCUAUUAAGUCAGGGGUGAAAGACGGUAGCUUAACUAUCGCAGUGCCUUUGAUACUGAUGGGCUUGAAUACACUUGAGGUAGGCGGAAUGUGACAAGUAGCGGUGAAAUGCAUAGAUAUGUCACAGAACACCAAUUGCGAAGGCAGCUUACUAAAGUGUUAUUGACACUGAGGCACGAAAGCGUGGGGAUCAAACAGG